GCCCGGUUAGCUCAAUCGGUAGAGCGUGAGACUCUUAAUCUCAAGGGCAAGUAGCCUCUUCACCCCAGACACCCGUCCACAACCUAACGGAGUGUGCAGCUGCGGGUUCGACCCCCGCAUCGGGCU